UCUACACACGGCAGGUUGGGCUCCCUUACCACAGUCUAACAAUAUAUAUAUUGUGGCCCGGUGGCCUGGUGGCUAAAGCUUCCGCUUCACACAUGGAGGGCCCGGGUUCGAUUCCCGGUGGGUGGAAACAUUUCGACACGUUUCCUUACACCUGUUGUCCUGUUCACCUAGCAGCAAAUAGGUACCUGGGUGUUAGUCGACUGGUGUGGGUCGCAUCCUGGGGGACAAGAUUAAGGACCCCAAUGGAAAUAAGUUAGACAGUCCUCGAUGACGCACUGACUUUCUUGGGUUAUCCUGGGUGGCUAACCCCCCCGGGGUUAAAAAUCCGAACGAAAUCUUAUCUUAUCUUACCAUCCACAAGUGUGUUUAUCUUCAACCAUCAUAUCUCCUUUCGACCCCCCACGACAAAUUGGUGCCAGCGGUGUGGGCGUAAAAUUGAUAAUUACGCCAAUGCAUGGAGAUAAAUGCAGCCGACAACGGACAUUUUGUGUGGUCAGUAGGCCGACCUAGCCAAGCAAGCUUUUACCAGUCCUCUGCAUUAUUCAUUGGUCAGUCUCUGUGUAUUAGUGUUUAUUUUGCUAUUUGCAUUACCUCCGAGGAGUUGACCCGGGUUUGCAAAGUAAGCCAAGCCACUUGAGCCAGUCUGUGGUGGGGGAGUCAGCCCAAGUCCAGUCCAGCCAGCCUUACACCAUCCAGCCUUGCCUGCCAAGCGAGCUUUCCACCCCUGCUGUGCUCAUCGUUACAAGUUAUCAAGCCAGUCUGUGUGAAGGGUUAAGCCAAGCCAGCCAGCAACUAACCCAGAUACCUGAAACCUAUGACAAGUCAAGAAUUAGCACUCUUUCACUGAUGGGAAGCACUUCACGACUUCUCUUAGGCUUUGAAGAACUGUCACUAUCCCUACUUUUGCACUUUGGUGUCAUUAUUAAGCAACAUUAAGGGUUAUUUUCAAGCCAGAGUAAAUCAUGGAUAACUGAAACUACAAAAACUGGACUUGCAGUCUUACUGUGUGUGUGCAUUUUCUUUUUCCUUAACACACUGGCCAUCUCCUACCAAGACAAGGUGACGUGAAAAAGAAGAAAAAGUUUUUCUUUUUACAUUUAGUAAUUUAUACAGGAGAAGGGGUUACUAGCUCCUUGCUCCCAGCAUUUUAGUUGCGUCUUACGGCAUGCAUGGCUUAUGGAGGAAGGAUUUUUCUCCACUUCCCCACAGUGUGUUGUGUUUAUAACUUAUAUAUAUAAAUCAGUAUAAUUAAUGUCACUGUUUCCUUCUGCACCAGGCAGAAUGAAUGGCACUUGCAUCAAAAUGAAUAUUUCUCAUUUUUAAUAAAACGUGGGUAAAAUUCAACUACUAGAGCUGCACAUACUACUUAGAGAAGGCAGGUCUGUUCACUCCUUACAUUUCUUAUUAAAUAGAAAAAGUAAAUAAAAAAUUGAACUCUUAUAUUUGUAAACUUACACUGUAGUUUUGUAAAUAAGAAUCUUUUUAAAAAUUUGCAUGACAAAUUUGAUGAGAACUAGAAUAAGAUGAUACAACUGCUUCUGUAUAACUGAUCCUGCCCUUUAAUUAUAUCAGGUUGUCAACAUGUGUUUAUGCAUAGUCCAUUUUUCAGUACUAUACAUCCACUUUCAAAUGAAAAUGCAUAAAAAUUAUUCACAUCAAUGUUUUUGAGUUUAGACUAUUAAGAGUAAAUUUUAAAUUGCAAAUCUCUGUAACACAAACUAUUGUGAUUUGCUCAUUACCUGUUACUUUCAUCAGUAUAUAUAUUCUUCACAGACAUCUCUGAUUCAUAGAAGUUUCCAACUCUGCAAAUAAUGUAAUAUUAAACACCUUUUAAAAUUUAAGGGUAUAUUGUAAUCCUUCCCUAGUUAUAAAGUUAUCAACAAAACUCAUCUAAAUUACAGUACUAAUAUUUAAAACAAACUUUUUACCAAUAAAAAAAAAAGAGUAGGUAUGUAACAGGAUGACAGUAACAUGACCAAAGCAAACAGUACAGUAUAAAAUUUUUGCUGCAU